CCUACGGUGGGCAGCAGUGAGGAAUAUUGGUCAAUGGCCGGAAGGCUGAACCAGCCAAGCCGCGUGAAGGACGAAGGUGCCAAGCAUUGUAAACUUCUUUUGUCAAGGGACAAAAUCAGGCUCGAGAGCCUGACCGCGGGUACUUGAAGAAAAAGCAUCGGCUAACUCCGUGCCAGUAGCCGCGGUAAUACGGAGGAUGCGAGCGUUAUCCGGAUUUAUGGGGGUUAAAGGGGUCGUAGUCGGACUGUUAAGUCAGCGGGAAAAGCCCGGGGCUCAACCCCGGCGAGCCGUUGAAACUGGCUGUCGUGAGAUGACGAGAGGUAUGCGGAAUGCGCAGUGUAGCGGUGAAAUGCUUAGAUA
rnacentral:rRNA from 1 species